UACGGGGGGGGCAAGCGUUGUUCGGAAUUACUGGGCGUAAAGGGCUUGUAGGUGGCCAACUAAGUCAAAACGUGAAAUCCCCUCGGCUUAACCGGGGGAACUGCGCCUGAUACUGGAUGGCUCGAGUGUGGGAGAGGGAUGGCGGAAUUCCAGGUGUAGCGGUGAAAUGCGUAGAUAUCUGGAGGAACACCGGUGGCGAAGGCGGCAUCCUGGACCAUAACUGACACUGAUAAGCGAAAGCCAGGGGAGCAAACGGG
rnacentral:rRNA from 1 species